rnacentral:rRNA from 1 species
UACGGAGGGUGCAAGCGUUGCUCGGAAUUAUUGGGCGUAAAGGGUAGGUAGGUGGCCUCAUUUGUCUGGGGUGAAAGCCUUGAGCUUAACUCAAGAAGUGCCCCAGAAACGGUGAGACUAGAGUCCUGGAGAGGGUCGUGGAAUUCCUGGUGUAGCGGUGAAAUGCGCAGAUAUCAGGAGGAACACCGGUGGCGAAGGCGGGUCUCUGGGCCGAUACUGACGCUGAGGAGCGAAAGCGUGGGGAGCGAACAGG